rnacentral:rRNA from 2 species
UCCCAAAUUGAUUUUAUGCUUGCAUAAAUGAUUUUUGGAUUCGGAGCGAGUGGCGAACUGGUGAGUAACACGUGGGUAACCUGCCCCGAAGCGGGGGAUAACAUUUGGAAACAAGUGCUAAUACCGCAUAAUUAGUUGGAACCGCAUGGUUCCAACUUGAAAGAUGGCUCUGCUAUCACUUUGGGAUGGACCCGCGCCGUAUUAGUUAGUUGGUGAGAUAAAAGCCCACCAAGACGAUGAUACGUAGCCGACCUGAGAGGGUAAUCGGCCACAUUGGGACUGAGACACGGCCCAGACUCCUACGGGAGGCAGCAGUAGGGAAUCUUCCACAAUGGACGAAAGUCUGAUGGAGCAACGCCGCGUGAGUGAUGAAGGUUUUCGGAUCGUAAAACUCUGUUGUUAAAGAAGAACAAGUGUUAGAGUAACUGUUAACACUUUGACGGUAUUUAACCAGAAAGCCACGGCUAACUACGUGCCAGCAGCCGCGGUAAUACGUAGGUGGCAAGCGUUGUCCGGAUUUAUUGGGCGUAAAGCGAGCGCAGGCGGUUUUGUAAGUCUGCUGUGAAAGCCCUCAGCUCAACUGAGGAAGUGCAGUGGAAACUACAAAACUUGAGUACAGAAGAGGAAAGUGGAACUCCAUGUGUAGCGGUGAAAUGCGUAGAUAUAUGGAAGAACACCAGUGGCGAAGGCGGCUUUCUGGUCUGUUACUGACGCUGAGGCUCGAAAGCAUGNGUAGCGAACAGGAUUAGAUACCCUGGUAGUC